rnacentral:rRNA from 1 species
AGGGUUCGAUUCUGGCUCAGGAUGAACGCUAGCGACAGGCUUAACACAUGCAAGUCGAGGGCAGCAUAGAAGUAGCAAUACUUGGUGGCGACCGGCGCACGGGUGAGUAACGCGUAUGCAACCUACCUAUCAGAGGGGAAUAACCCGGCGAAAGUCGGACUAAUACCGCAUAAAACAGGGGCACCGCAUGGUGAUAUUCGUUAAAGAAAUUCGCUGAUAGAUGGGCAUGCGUUCCAUUAGGUAGUUGGUGAGGUAACGGCUCACCAAGCCGACGAUGGAUAGGGGAACUGAGAGGUUGGUCCCCCACACUGGUACUGAGACACGGACCAGACUCCUACGGGAGGCAGCAGUGAGGAAUAUUGGUCAAUGGGCGGGAGCCUGAACCAGCCAAGUCGCGUGAAGGAAGAAGGAUCUAUGGUUCGUAAACUUCUUUUGCAGGGGAAUAAAGUGCAGGACGUGUCCUGUUUUGUAUGUACCCUGAGAAUAAGGAUCGGCUAACUCCGUGCCAGCAGCAGC